UACGGGGGGGGCGAGCGUUGUUCGGAAUUACUGGGCGUAAAGGGCUUGUAGGCGGCCAACUAAGUCCGACGUGAAAUCCCCAGGCUUAACCUGGGAACUGCGUCGGAUACUGGAUGGCUUGAAUUCGGGAGAGGGAUGCAGAAUUCCAGGUGUAGCGGUGAAAUGCGUAGAUAUCUGGAGGAAUACCGGUGGCGAAGGCGGCAUCCUGGACCGACAUUGACGCUGAGGAGCGAAAGCUAGGGGAGCAAACGGG
rnacentral:rRNA from 1 species